rnacentral:rRNA from 1 species
CCUGAGAAACCCAAAAGAUCGAAUGGGGAGAUUCAUCGUCAGCUCAUUUUAUAUAUAUACUAGUUAUGAUAUGGGUUACUACUACAGUUACUGUAGUGUGUAUUGCCUGUACAUUCUUGUAUAUUUUAUUGUAAGAUGUUGUCGGCGUGCACUUCUCCCCUAGUAGGACGUCGCGACCCGUUGAGUUUGUUGGUCUACGGCCCAAGUGGUAAAAAGAUUUCAAUGAAUUUUUUUAUUUAUUGAAAACCCUUGGUGUUACCUGACUGGCACUCGUCGGUAUUCAUUAAUAUGGUAUUGAGCCGCAUAUUUUAUAUGCGUCCAUAUCUGUCGCAAGCGAGGUUUGUUAUCGAUAAUACGGACCUAGUGCCGUCGUUGAUACUAAUCAGCUGUUGGUUGUACAGAAUUCUAGGACUGGCUCAUUAUAAAAAAUAUACCGGUCAGCGAUGCUACUGCUUUGGGUACUUUCAGGACCCGUCUUGAAACACGGACCAAGGAGUCUAACAUGUACGCAAGUCAUUGGGAUUUUUAAUAAAAUAAACCUAAAGGCGUAAUGAAAGUAAAGGUCGUCCUUGUGUCGACUAAGGGAGGAUGAGCUAUGUAUAUAUGUAGCUUCGCACUCUCGGGGCGUCUCAUUCUCAUUGCGAGAAGAGGCGCACCUAGAGCGUACACGU